rnacentral:rRNA from 1 species
UACAGAGGUCUCAAGCGUUGUUCGGAUUCAUUGGGCGUAAAGGGUGCGUAGGCGGCGCGGUAAGUCGGGUGUGAAAUCUUGGAGCUUAACUCCGAAACUGCAUUCGAUACUGCCGUGCUUGAGGACUGGAGAGGAGACUGGAAUUUACGGUGUAGCGGUGAAAUGCGUAGAUAUCGUAAGGAAGACCAGUGGCGAAGGCGAGUUCCUGGACAGUGACUGACGCUGAGGCACGAAGGCCAGGGGAGCAAACGGG